UCAGAAAGAGAUUCCGAGAUCUCCCAGAAGCAAAGGGCAACCAGACUUUCUGGUGAGCAGGAUGAGACCCGCCGGGACCCCACACUCCCUGCAGAGCCUGCAGACGGAUCCUGGGAAAGCCGCCGGGGCCCUCAGAGGCUUCUACUCAUGCCUCAAGAAGCCAAUGGAGGGGCACCUGGGUGGCUCGGUCGAUUAAGCGUCUGACUCCGGGUCAGGCUGAAGCGUGGAGGUGGUUGUGACCCAGCUUUGACCAUGCAACCAAGGAAAUAUCCUAGGAUGAUGAUGUAACAAAAUGGGAAGAAGCCAGGUCCCCAGCUGACCUGAUAGAACUGAGCGGUCCCAGCAGUCUGGACUACUCACCUCUGACAAUGGUCUCUUGUGUGAAAAAUACAGUGAAUCAUCUUUA